rfam:Pluralibacter gergoviae strain JS81F13 contig_1, whole genome shotgun sequence.
CUGCGUGACGAAGCGCGUGCUAAAGUGGACAAUAAAGGCUGAAGCUACGCGUGAGUCGCCAAAAACGCCGGGUGAUCCGGCGUUUUUUA